CGUAGGUGGCGAGCGUUAUCCGGAAUGAUUGGGCGUAAAGGGUGCGUAGGUGGCAGAUCAAGUCUGGAGUAAAAGGUAUGGGCUCAACCCGUACUUGCUCUGGAAACUGAUCAGCUAGAGAACAGAAGAGGACGGCGGAACUCCAUGUGUAGCGGUAAAAUGCGUAGAUAUAUGAAAGAACACCGGUGGCGAAGGCGGCCGUCUGGUCUGGAUUCUGACACUGAAGCACGAAAGCGUGGGAGCAAAUAGGAUU
rnacentral:rRNA from 1 species